UACGUAGGGGGCGAGCGUUGUCCGGAGUUACUGGGCGUAAAGCGCACGCAGGCGGUCUGCUAAGUUUGGAGUGACAGUUGGUGGCUUAACUGCCAAAGUGCUUCGAAAACUGACAGACUUGAGGGCUUCAGAGGGACACGGAAUUCCGGGUGGAGUGGUGAAAUGCGUAGAGAUCCGGAGGAACACCAAAGGCGAAGGCAGUGUCCUGGGGAGUACCUGACGCUCGGGUGCGAAAGCCAGGGGAGCGAACGGG
rnacentral:rRNA from 1 species